rnacentral:rRNA from 1 species
GACGAACGCUGGCGGCGUGCUUAACACAUGCAAGUCGAACGGAAAGGCCUCUUUCGGGGGGUACUCGAGUGGCGAACGGGUGAGUAACACGUGAGUAACCUGCCCUUGACUUUGGGAUAACUUCAGGAAACUGGGGCUAAUACCGGAUAGGAGCUCCUGCUGCAUGGUGGGGGUUGGAAAGUUUCGGCGGUUGGGGAUGGACUCGCGGCUUAUCAGCUUGUUGGUGGGGUAGUGGCUUACCAAGGCUUUGACGGGUAGCCGGCCUGAGAGGGUGACCGGCCACAUUGGGACUGAGAUACGGCCCAGACUCCUACGGGAGGCAGCAGUGGGGAAUAUUGCACAAUGGGUGGAAGCCUGAUGCAGCAACGCCGUGUGCGGGAUGACGGCCUUCGGGUUGUAAACCGCUUUCGCUCAUGACGAAGCUUUGUGUGACGGUAGUGGGUAAAGAAGCACCGGCUAACUGCGUG